rnacentral:rRNA from 1 species
UACGUAGGGUGCAAGCGUUAAUCGGAAUUACUGGGCGUAAAGCGUGCGCAGGCGGUGAUGUAAGACAGUUGUGAAAUCCCCGGGCUCAACCUGGGAACUGCAUCUGUGACUGCAUCGCUGGAGUGCGGCAGAGGGGGAUGGAAUUCCGCGUGUAGCAGUGAAAUGCGUAGAUAUGCGGAGGAACACCGAUGGCGAAGGCAAUCCCCUGGGCCUGCACUGACGCUCAUGCACGAAGACGUGGGGAGCAAACAGG